rnacentral:rRNA from 1 species
UACGAAGGGGGCUAGCGUUGUUCGGAAUUACUGGGCGUAAAGCGCGCGCAGGCGGUUCUCCAAGUCAGUGGUGAAAGCCCGGAGCUCAACUCCGGAACUGCCAUUGAAACUGUUGAACUUGAGGACGAGAGAGGUGAGUGGAAUUCCCAGUGUAGAGGUGAAAUUCGUAGAUAUUGGGAAGAACACCGGUGGCGAAGGCGGCUAUCUGGACCGACAUUGACGCUGAGGCGCGAAAGCGUGGGGAGCAAACAGG